rnacentral:rRNA from 1 species
GGGGCAGCGGGGGAGUAGCAAUACUCCCGCCGGCGACCGGCGUACGGGUGAGUAACACGUAUGAAACCUGCCCGUAGCAGGGGGAUAAGCGGAAGAAAUUCCGUCUAAUACCGCGUAACAACCCUUGGAGGCAUCUCCUCGGGUUUAAAGGGAGCGAUUCCGGCUACGGAUGGUCAUGCGUCGCAUUAGCUUGUUGGCGGGGUAACGGCCCACCAAGGCGACGAUGCGUAGGGGUUCUGAGAGGAAGGUCCCCCCACACUGGUACUGAGACACGGACCAGACUCCUACGGGAGGCAGCAGUGAGGAAUAUUGGUCAAUGGCCGCAGGGCUGAACCAGCCAAGUCGCGUGAGGGAUGACGGUCCUAUGGAUUGUAAACCUCUUUUGUCAGGGAGCAAAGGGCGCCACGUGUGGCGUUUUGCGAGUACCUGAAGAAAAAGCAUCGGCUAACUCCGUGCCAGCAGCCGCGGUAAUACGGAGGAUGCGAGCGUUAUCCGGAUUUAUUGGGUUUAAAGGGUGCGCAGGCGGAAUGUCAAGUCAGCGGUAAAAUUUCGGGGCUCAACCCCGUCGUGCCGUUGAAACUGGCG